GCCAAGCAUUUUAUAAAGAUUCCCCUUUUGAUCUUCCCAACAAUCCUGGGAAGUGGCUGCUAUUAUCAUCCCCAUUUUAAAGAUGAGAACAACUAAGGGGAAUAGAGGUUGAGGGACUUGCCCAGGAUCACCUGGCUGGUAGGUGUUUGAGGUUCAGGCCCAGAGCUCUGUCCACUGCCUCUUUGGGCCUGUCAUCCUUAAUUCUUUUCUAUCUCUGGGCCUCAGUUUCCCCAGCUGCUAAGACAAGCUCUCAGUUCUGUCUUCUGAGACAAGGUAGAACGGUGGCUCUCAUGUCCUGCCCCACUCCUCAACUCCUCUUCUGAUUAAACGUCCCCAGAUGCUUCGAUCCAUCAUCGCCUGACACCGACUCGAGAGCCUUCUCUGUCCUCCAAUUACUCUCCAGCUUAUCCUCCAGAAACGUGGCACAGAGCAGGAAAGGAUCUUCUCUGCAACUGCCCAGAAGGCAUCCACCUGGUCUUGGCUUGAACAUCACUCGGGACGCGGAGCUCCCAACCCUCGGAGGGAAAGAGAAAGGAUCUGAUGAAGAUUUCCAGUCUACAUCCUGUUGUUCUGGUAGCUCCUGGCUGGGGAUGACCAAGCAAGACAGCAGAGAUAACCCUAAAAGCUGGACUGUCCCACAGGACAGAUGGGAGCAAAGAAAACCAAGGCGACACAGAGCCCCAAGGCACAGAGCAAGGAGAUGGGGGACUCAGGAGGGGAAAGAGCAAAGGACACUGUGGAGGGGGUGUGUCUGUGUGCAUGUGUGUUGGCAGCAAGGGCUGGAGGAGGGAUACCCUUUUUCUCAGUAAAUAUUUAACAGAGAAGGAAGCAUCUGGUUAUGUGGGUGGAGAUAACAAACUGGUUAAUCAUUUCCUAGGAACUAUUCCUAAAGGUUUCCAUGGGGUUGCUGGGAGCUGAUGCUAAUAGAAGAGGUCCAACCUGGGGUGGAUUGGGAGCAAGCCCUUGGCAGCCUCUUAUCUUUAUGCUAAGAGGGGAAAGAGGGAAUCUGGAAGGAUGCUGGGGGCCCUUUGGGGAAGGGUGGGAUUCCAGGUCUCGUGCCUUGGAAACAAUAUACAGUAUUAAAAAAAGAAUCCAUUAACCUGACUGGAAAUCUAAAACUCUGAGGAUGAGAGUAUGGUAGAGAGUAUUUGGAUGAGGAAAAAAAAUUAUGUUAUGGUGAAGUAUACUAUAGAUCACCAAGGCAGUGGGAGGAAAUGGAUGAUGAGCUCUUGACACAUCACAAAGCUGGCAUAGAGGUAGAGUUAUGAUAGGGGACUUCAUAUCUCUAAAAUAUAUUGAAUUUCUCUGCUAAAAGAACCACUCAUAGAGACUUAUGAGAAAGAUGCUCUCCACAUCCAGAGAAAGAACUGUGGGAGCAGAAACACAGAAGAAAAACAACUGCUUGAUCUCAUGGGUCCAUGAGGAUAUGAUAGGGGAUGUAGAUUCUAGAUGAUCCUCCUAGUGCAAAUGCCAAUAAUGUGGAAAUAGGUCUUGAUCAAUGACACAUGUUAAACCCAGUGGAAUUGUGUGUUGGCCACAGAAGGGGGUGGGAGGAGGGGAGAGAAAGAACAUGAAUCAUGUAACCAUGGAAAUUUUUUCUUAAUCAAUAAAAUUAAAUAAAAAAAUAAAACA
ensembl:lncRNA uncharacterized LOC103103726